rnacentral:rRNA from 1 species
AAAGCGGCGGACGGGUGAGUAACGCGUAGGCAACCUGCCCUUUGCAGAGGGAUAGCCUCGGGAAACCGGGAUUAAAACCUCAUAACGCACAACUGAGACAUCUUGGAUGUGCCAAAGAUUUAUCGGCAGAGGAUGGGCCUGCGUCUGAUUAGUUAGUUGGUGGGGUAACGGCCUACCAAGGCGACGAUCAGUAGCCGACCUGAGAGGGUGAUCGGCCACAUUGGAACUGAGACACGGUCCAAACUCCUACGGGAGGCAGCAUG